rnacentral:rRNA from 1 species
UACGAAGGGGGCUAGCGUUGCUCGGAAUUACUGGGCGUAAAGGGCGCGUAGGCGGAUAUCUAAGUUGGGGGUGAAAUCCCGGGGCUCAACCUCGGAAUUGCCUUCAAAACUGGAUAUCUUGAGUUCGGUAGGGGAGACUGGAAUUCCUGGUGUAGCGGUGAAAUGCGCAGAUAUCAGGAGGAACACCGGUGGCGAAGGCGGGUCUCUGGGCCGAUACUGACGCUGAGGAGCGAAAGCGUGGGGAGCGAACAGG